rnacentral:rRNA from 1 species
CCUACGGGAGGCAGCAGUCGAGAAUCAUUCACAAUGGGGGAAACCCUGAUGGUGCGACGCCGCGUGGGGGAAUGAAGGUCUUCGGAUUGUAAACCCCUGUCAUGUGGGAGCAAAUUAAAAAGAUAGUACCACAAGAGGAAGAGACGGCUAACUCUGUGCCAGCAGCCGCGGUAAUACAGAGGUCUCAGGCGUUGUUCGGAAUCACUGGGCGUAAGGCGUGCGUAGGCUGUUUCGUAAGUCGUGUGUGAAAGGCGCGGGCUCAACCCGCGGACGGCACAUGAUACUGCGAGACUAGAGUAAUGGAGGGGGAACCGGAAUUCUCGGUGUAGCAGUGAAAUGCGUAGAUAUCGAGAGGAACACUCGUGGCGAAGGCGGGUUCCUGGACAUUAACUGACGCUGAGGCACGAAGGCCAGGGGAGCGAAAGGGAUUAGAUACCCCUGUAGUC